GUUAAUGUAGCUUAAACUUAAAGCAAGGCACUGAAAAUGCCUAGAUGAGUCUACUGACUCCAUGAACA
ensembl:Mt_tRNA